GGAAUUAUAAAUCGUCGGGGAUAAAAUGCGAUUCUACGCGAAAUUCUGUCAAACGUGUUUUGAAACGUCGUGAUAUUUACAAUUUUCAUCAAAAUUGAACUUAGGAUACUUUUUUUUCCUACGAUUAUACAAUUUAUAAUGAACCUCGCGUAAAAUGUUUUCUCGUCGGCCAAAACAUUUUUAUCCGCAAAAAGCCCUUAGGAAAUCUUUAAAAACCCUUACCUACGUCUAGAAAGUGCUAAUAUAUUAUUAUU